rnacentral:rRNA from 1 species
CGCGGUAAGACGUAGGACGCGAGCGUUAUCCGGAUUUACUGGGCGUAAAGCGUGUGUAGGCGGCGUGACAAGUUGGGCGUGAAAGCCCCGUGCUCAACGCGGGGAGCACGCACAAUACUGUCAGGCUAGAGGGCACCAGAGGGGUGUGGAAUUCCCGGAGUAGCGGUAAAAUGCGCAGAUAUCGGGAGGAACACCGGUGGCGAAAGCGGCACCCUGGGGUGCGCCUGACGCUGAGAGACGACAGCUAGGGGAGCGAACAGGAUUAGAGACCCUGGUAGUCCUAGCCGUAAACGAUGGAUGCUAGGUGUAGGAGUGAAGAGCUUCUGUGCCGCAGCGAACGCGAUAAGCAACCCGCCUGGGGAGUACGGCCGCAAGGUUAAAACUCAAACGAAUUGACGGGGACCCGCACAAGCAGCGGAGCGUGUGGUUUAAUUCGAUGCUACACGAAGAACCUUACCUGGGAUUGACAUAUGGGUGGUAGUGAUCCGAAAGGAGAGCGACCCUUCGGGGAGCCUAUACAGGUGCUGCAUGGCUGUCGUCAGCUCGUGCCGUGAGGUGUCGGGUUAAGUCCCGUAACGAGCGCAACCCUUGUCCUUAGUUACAAGUGUCUAAGGGGACUGCCGGCGGGAAGCCGGAGGAAGGUGGGGAUGACGUCAAGUCAGCAUGGCCCUUAUAUCCAGGGCGACACACACGCUACAAUGGUCGGUACAGAGGGCAGCGAAGCCGCGAGGUGGAGCGAAACCCAGAAAGCCGGUCGUAGUUCGGAUUGCAGGCUGCAACUCGCCUGCAUGAAGUUGGAGUUGCUAGUAACCGCAGGUCAGCCAUACUGCGGUGAUACGUUCCCGGGUCUUGUACACACCGCCCGUCACGUCAUGGGAGUCUGUAACGCCUGAAGGCGGUAGCCUGACCGCAAGGGAGGCGCUGUCGAGGGCGGGGCUGGCAACUGGGACGAAGUCGUAACAAG